ACCCGGUUAGCUCAGUUGGUAGAGCAAUUAGACUUUUAAUCUGAGGGCCGUGGGUUCAAGACCCAUAUCGGGCU